GACGAACGCUGGCGGCGUGCUUAACACAUGCAAGUCGAACGGAGCGAAUGAAAGCUUGCUUUUAUAAGCUUAGUGGCAAACGGGUGAGUAACACGUAGGCAACCUGCCGACAGGAUGGGGACAACAUUCCGAAAGGAAUGCUAAUACCGAAUGAAGUCAGAGGAGGGCAUCCUCUUCUGAUGAAAGAUGGCCUCUAUAUAUAAGCUAUCACCUGUCGAUGGGCCUGCGUCUGAUUAGCUGGUAGGUGAGGUAACGGCUCACCUAGGCGACGAUCAGUAGCCGGUCUGAGAGGAUGAACGGCCACAUUGGGACUGAGACACGGCCCAGACCCCUACGGGAGGCAGCAGUGGGGAAUCUUCCGCAAUGGGCGCAAGCCUGACGGAGCAACGCCGCGUGAGUGAAGAGGGUCUUCGGAUCGUAAAGCUCUGUUGAUGGGGACGAACGUGCCUAAUGCGAAUAGUUUUAGG
rnacentral:rRNA from 1 species